GGGCGGUUAGCUCAGUUGGUUAGAGUGCUUGCUUGACAUGUAAGAGGUCACCGGUUCGAUUCCAGUACCGCCCACCA
rnacentral:tRNA from 1 species